rnacentral:rRNA from 1 species
GAUCAUGGCUCAGGAUGAACGCUAGCGACAGGCUUAACACAUGCAAGUCGAGGGGCAGCAUAAAAGUAGCAAUACUUGGUGGCGACCGGCGCACGGGUGAGUAACGCGUAUGCAACCUACCUAUCAGAGGGGAAUAACCCGGCGAAAGUCGGACUAAUACCGCAUAAAACAGGGGCACCGCAUGGUGAUAUUUGUUAAGAAAUUCGCUGAUAGAUGGGCAUGCGUUCCAUUAGGUAGUUGGUGAGGUAACGGCUCACCAAGCCGACGAUGGAUAGGGGAACUGAGAGGUUGGUCCCCCACACUGGUACUGAGACACGGACCAGACUCCUACGGGAGGCAGCAGUGAGGAAUAUUGGUCAAUGGGCGGGAGCCUGAACCAGCCAAGUCCGCGUGAAGGAAGAAGGAUCUAUGGUUCGUAAACUUCUUUUGCAGGGGAAUAAAGUGCAGGACGUGUCCUGUUUUGUAUGUACCCUGAGAAUAAGGAUCGGCUAACUCCGUGCCAGCCGCCGC